AAUGAUGUACCGAUUAAUCCUCCGUAUGGCUCUAUUGAGUUUGUGGAUCGGACACGAGGAACGUAUAAAUGUAAUAAAGGCUACGCUUUAAAAGUCUAUGCAAUAAUUCGAUGUCUUAAGGGAGAUAAACACAGAUCAAAUUAUUGGAAUGCAUCCAAAAGUGCUUGUGCAGCUAUAGACGACUGUAAUCCCUCUCCAUGUUAUAAAUCAGAUAUAUGCAUUGAUGAAAUUGAUGACUAUACAUGUAUUUGUUUACCUGGAUAUUCAGGCAAAAACUGUUCUGAAAAAAUAUUCAGUUCAGUCAAAACAGAACCAUCUUCUAUAAAGACAUCAAAAACAACAGCAUCCAGACAGCCUUUAAUAACUUCAACUGUAAUUGCUACUUCAAUUUCAGGUACU